rnacentral:rRNA from 1 species
ACGAACGCUGGCGGCGUGCCUAAUACAUGCAAGUCGAACGCUUUUUCUUCAUCGGGUGCUUGCACCCACCGAGGAAAAAGAGUGGCGGACGGGUGAGUAACACGUGGGUAACCUACCUAUAAGCGGGGGAUAACAUUCGGAAACGGAUGCUAAUACCGCAUAUAUCUUCAUGCCACAUGGCAUGUGGAAGAAAGACGGCUUCGGCUGUCACUUAUAGAUGGACCCGCGGCGCAUUAGUUAGUUGGUGAGGUAAUGGCUCACCAAGACGAUGAUGCGUAGCCGACCUGAGAGGGUGAUCGGCCACACUGGGACUGAGACACGGCCCAGACUCCUACGGGAGGCAGCAGUAGGGAAUCUUCCGCAAUGGACGAAAGUCUGACGGAGCAACGCCGCGUGAGUGAAG